AACGAACGCUGGCGGCAUGCCUAACACAUGCAAGUCGAACGAGACCUUCGGGUCUAGUGGCGCACGGGUCCGUAACGCGUGGGAACAUGCCCUUAGGUUCGGAAUAACUCCCCGAAUGGGGUGCUAAUACCGGCUCAUGUCCUCCAACCAAAGUUUUAUCGCCUUUGGUUGGGCCCGCGUGGUCUUAGCUUGUUGUUAGGGUAAAAGCCUACCACGGCAAGGUUACAUAGAUGGGCUGCGAGGAAGAGCACCGACACUGGGGCUGAGACACGGUCGAGACUCUUACGGGAGGCGGGAGUGGGUAAUACAGCACAAUCGGGGAAGUGCUGAACCACCUAUGCCUCUAGAGUGAUGAAGGCCUGAGGGAAGUAAAGCACGUUUACCCGGGAUGAUAAUGACAGUACCGGGAGAAUAAGCACCGGCUAACUCCGUG
rnacentral:rRNA from 1 species